GCGUGAAUGGGGUAGUGGUAACCUUAAUCGUUGCCAAUCUUUGAAUGUCAGUUCGAUUAGCCAGGGGUUCAAUUCCCCUUUCACGCA
rfam:Rhizoctonia solani 123E scf_3, whole genome shotgun sequence.